GAUGAACGCUGGCGGCGUGCUUAACACAUGCAAGUCGAACGGAAAGGCUCCUGCCUGCAAGGGUACUCGAGUGGCGAACGGGUGAGUAACACGUGGGUGAUCUGCCCUGUACUUCGGGAUAAGCUUGGGAAACUGGGGCUAAUACCGGAUAUGACAAUCUCUUGGAUGGGGUUGUGGAGAGCUUUUGCGGUAUGGGAUGAGCUCGCGGCCUAUCAGCUUGUUGGUGGGGUAAUGGCCUACCAAGGCGUCGACGGGUAGCCGGCCUGAGAGGGUGUACGGCCACAUUGGGACUGAGAUACGGCCCAGACUCCUACGGGAGGCAGCAGUGGGGAAUAUUGCACAAUGGGCGCAAGCCUGAUGCAGCGACGCCGCGUGGGGGAUGACGGCCUUCGGGUUGUAAACUCCUUUCGCAACCGACGAAGCUUUUGUGACGGUAGGUUGAGAAGAAGCACCGGCUAACUACGUG
rnacentral:rRNA from 1 species